rnacentral:rRNA from 1 species
AGGUAUAAGCAAUUAUACCGCGAAACUGCGAAUGGCUCAUUAAAUCAGUUAUCGUUUAUUUGAUAGUACCUUACUACUUGGAUAACCGUGGUAAUUCUAGAGCUAAUACAUGCUGAAAACCCCGACUUCGGAAGGGAUGUAUUUAUUAGAUUAAAAACCAAUGCCCUUCGGGGCUCCCUGGUGAUUCAUAAUAACUUCUCGAAUCGCACGGCCUUGCGCCGGCGAUGGUUCAUUCAAAUUUCUGCCCUAUCAACUUUCGACGGCUGGGUCUUGGCCAGCCAUGGUGACAACGGGUAACGGAGGGUUAGGGCUCGACCCCGGAGAAGGAGCCUGAGAAACGGCUACUACAUCCAAGGAAGGCAGCAGGCGCGCAAAUUACCCAAUCCCGACACGGGGAGGUAGUGACAAUAAAUACUGAUACAGGGCUCUUUUGGGUCUUGUAAUUGGAAUGAGUACAAUUUAAUUCCCUUAACGAGGAACAAUUGGAGGGCAAGUCUGGUGCCAGCAGCCGCGGUAAUUCCAGCUCCAAUAGCGUAUAUUAAAGUUGUUGCAGUUAAAAAGCUCGUAGUUGAACCUUGGGCCUGGCUGGCCGGUCCGCCUCACCGCGUGCACUGGUCCGGCCGGGUCUUUCCCUCUGGGGAGCCGCAUGCCCUUCACUGGGUGUGUCGGGGAACCAGGACUUUUACUUUGAAAAAAUUAGAGUGUUCAAAGCAGGCUUAUGCUCGGAUACAUUAGCAUGGAAUAAUAGAAUAGGACGUGCGGUUCUAUUUUGUUGGUUUCUAGGACCGCCGUAAUGAUUAAUAGGGACAGUCGGGGGCAUCAGUAUUCAAUUGUCAGAGGUGAAAUUCUUGGAUUUAUUGAAGACUAACUACUGCGAAAGCAUUUGCCAAGGAUGUUUUCAUUAAUCAGGAACGAAAGUUAGGGGAUCGAAGACGAUCAGAUACCGUCGUAGUCUUAACCAUAAACUAUGCCGACUAGGGAUCGGACGAUGUUAUUUUUUGACUCGUUCGGCACCUUACACGAAAGUACAAGUUUCUGGGUUCUGGGGGGAGUAUGGUCGCAAGGCUGAAACUUAAAGAAAUUGACGGAAGGGCACCACCAGGGGUGGAAUCUGCGGCUUAAUUUGACUCAACACGGGGAAACUCACCAGGUCCAGACACGAUGAGGAUUGACAGAUUGAGAGCUCUUUCUUGAUUUCGUGGGUGGUGGUGCAUGGCCGUUCUUAGUUGGUGGAGUGAUUUGUCUGCCUAAUCGCGAUAACGAACGAGACCUUAAGCUGCUAAAUAGCCCGCGUUGCUUUGGCAGCGCGCUGGCUUCUUAGAGGGACUAUCCGCUCAAGCCC